rnacentral:rRNA from 1 species
UAUGGCCAUAUCACGCUGAAACACCGGUUCCCCGUACGAUCACCGAAGUUAAGCAAGGUCGAGCCUAGUUAGUACCUAGAUAGGUGACCGCUUGGGAAUACCAGGUGCUAU